CCUACGGGUGGCAGCAGUGGGGAAUUUUGGACAAUGGGCGCAAGCCUGAUCCAGCUAUUCCGCGUGUGGGAAGACGGCCUUCGGGUUGUAAACCACUUUUGUAGAGAACGAAAAGUCUAUUGAUAAUACCGAUAGAUGAUGACGGUACUCUAAGAAUAAGCACCGGCUAACUACGUGCCAGCAGCCGCGGUAAUACGGAGGGUGCGAGCGUUAAUCGGAAUUACUGGGCGUAAAGGGUGUGCAGGCGGUUUUGCAAGAUGGAUGUGAAAGCCCCGGGCUUAACCUGGGAAAGCCAUACAUGACUGGAAGACUAGAGUGCGUGAGAGGGGGGUGGAAUUCCAAGUGUAGCAGUGAAAUGCGUAGAUAUUUGGAAGAACACCGAUGGCGAAGGCAGCCCCCUGGGACGCAACUGACGCUCAGACACGAAAGCGUGGGGAGCAAACAGGAUUAGAUACCCUUGUAGUC
rnacentral:rRNA from 1 species